rnacentral:rRNA from 1 species
AGAACUUAGCAGAGAUGCUUUGGUGCCUUCGGGAACUCUGAGACAGGUGCUGCAUGGCUGUCGUCAGCUCGUGUUGUGAAAUGUUGGGUUAAGUCCCGCAACGAGCGCAACCCUUAUCCUUUGUUGCCAGCGAUUCGGUCGGGAACUCAAAGGAGACUGCCGGUGAUAAACCGGAGGAAGGUGGGGAUGACGUCAAGUCAUCAUGGCCCUUACGGCCAGGGCUACACACGUGCUACAAUGGCGCAUACAAAGAGAAGCGACCUCGCGAGAGCAAGCGGACCUCAUAAAGUGCGUCGUAGUCCGGAUUGGAGUCUGCAACUCGACUCCAUGAAGUCGGAAUCGCUAGUAAUCGUAGAUCAGAAUGCUACGGUGAAUACGUUCCCGGGCCUUGUACACACCGCCCGUCACACCAUGGGAGUGGGUUGCAAAAGAAGUAGGUAGCUUGACCUUCGGGAGGGCGCUUACCACUUUGUGAUUCAUGACUGGGGUGAAGUCGUAACAAGGUAAGCGUAGAUGA